UACAGAGGUCUCAAGCGUUGUUCGGAUUCAUUGGGCGUAAAGGGUGUGUAGGUGGCGCGCUAAGUCGGUGUGAAAUUUCGGAGCUUAACUCCGAAACUGCAUUCGAUACUGGCGUGCUUGAGGACUGGAGAGGAGACUGGAAUUCAUGGUGUAGCAGUGAAAUGCGUAGAGAUCAUGAGGAAGACCAGUGGCGAAGGCGGGUCUCUGGACAGUUCCUGACACUGAGACACGAAGGCCAGGGGAGCAAACGGG
rnacentral:rRNA from 1 species